CCUACGGGUGGCAGCAGUGAGGAAUAUUGGUCAAUGGACGCAAGUCUGAACCAGCCAUGCCGCGUGCAGGAAGAAGGCUCUAUGAGUUGUAAACUGCUUUUGUACGAGGGUAAAUCCCGAUACGUGACUCGGGUUGAAAGUAUCGUACGAAUAAGGCUCGGCUAACUACGUGCCAGCAGCCGCGGUAAUACGGAGGAUUCAAGCGUUAUCCGGAUUUAUUGGGUUUAAAGGGUGCGUAGGCGGUUCGAUAAGUUUGAGGUGAAAUCCCGGGGCUCAACUCCGGCACUGCCUCGGAUACUGUCGAGCUAGAGUGUAGUUGCGGUAGGCGGAAUGCAUGGUGUAGCGGUGAAAUGCAUAGAGAUCAGACAGAACACCGGUUGCGAAGGCAGCUUACCAAGCUACUUCUGACGUUGAGGCACGAAAGCGUGGGGAGCAAACAGGAUUAGAUACCCGAGUAGUC
rnacentral:rRNA from 1 species